AUUGAACGCUGGCGGCAGGCCUAACACAUGCAAGUCGAGCGGAUGAAGGGAGCUUGCUCCUGGAUUCAGCGGCGGACGGGUGAGUAAUGCCUAGGAAUCUGCCUGGUAGUGGGGGAUAACGUCCGGAAACGGGCGCUAAUAUCGCAUACGUCCUGAGGGAGAAAGUGGGGGAUCUUCGGACCUCACGCUAUCAGAUGAGCCUAGGUCGGAUUAGCUAGUUGGUGGGGUAAAGGCCUACCAAGGCGACGAUCCGUAACUGGUCUGAGAGGAUGAUCAGUCACACUGGAACUGAGACACGGUCCAGACUCCUACGGGAGGCAGCAGUGGGGAAUAUUGGACAAAGGGCGAAAGCCUGAUCCAGCCAUGCCGCGUGUGUGAAGAAGGUCUUCGGAUUGUAAAGCACUUUAAGUUGGGAGGAAGGACAGUAAGUUAAUACCUUGCUGUUUUGACGUUACCAACAGAAUAAGCACCGGCUAACUUCGUG
rnacentral:rRNA from 1 species